GAUGAACGCUAGCUACAGGCUUAACACAUGCAAGUCGAGGGGCAGCAUGGUCUUAGCUUGCUAAGGCCGAUGGCGACCGGCGCACGGGUGAGUAACGCGUGAGCAAUCUGCCUUUCAGAGGGGGAUAACAGCCGGAAACGGCUGCUAAUACCGCAUAAUGCAUUGGAAUCGCAUGACUCUGUUGCCAAAGAUUUAUCGCUCUGAGAUGGCCUCGCGUCUGAUUAGCUAGUUGGCGGGGUAACGGCCCACCAAGGCGACGAUCAGUAGCCGGACUGAGAGGUUGGCCGGCCACAUUGGGACUGAGACACGGCCCAG
rnacentral:rRNA from 1 species